AAGUUUCCUUCGGGAAAUGAGUAGAGUGGCGCACGGGUGAGUAACACGUAGGUAAUCUACCUUUGGAUGGGGAAUAACAACCGGAAACGGUUGCUAAUACCGCAUAAUGCAGCGGCACCUAAUGGUGACAGUUGUUAAAGCGGGGGGUCGAAAGACCUCGCGUCUAAAGAGGAGCCUGCGGCGGAUUAGCUAGUUGGUAGGGUAAUGGCCUACCAAGGCUACGAUCCGUAGCCGGCCUGAGAGGGCGGUCGGCCACACUGACACUGACAUACGGGUCAGACUCCUACGGGAGGCAGCAGUCGGGAAUUUUGGGCAAUGGGCGAAAGCCUGACCCAGCAACGCCGCGUGAAGGAUGAAAUCCCUCGGGAUGUAAACUUCGCAAGAACGGGAAGAAUAAGUAGGGGACAAUACCCCCUAUGAUGACGGUACCGUUUGUAAGCUCCGGCUAACUCCGUGCCAGCAGCCGCGGUAAUACGGGGGGAGCAAGCGUUGUUCGGAUUUACUGGGCGUAAAGGGCGCGUAGGCGGCCAGCACAAGUCAGUUGUGAAAUCUCCGAGCUUAACUCGGAAAGGUCAACUGAUACUGUGCGGCUAGAGUGCAGAAGGGGCAACUGGAAUUCUUGGUGUAGCGGUGAAAUGCGUAGAUAUCAAGAGGAACACCUGCGGCGAAGGCGGGUUGCUGGGCUGACACUGACGCUGAGGCGCGAAAGCUAGGGGAGCGAACGGGAUUAGAUACCCCGGUAGUCCUAGCCUUAAAC
rnacentral:rRNA from 1 species